CGUAUGUCCGGCCCAUUGCCACUUCAGC
rnacentral:sRNA from 1 species